rnacentral:rRNA from 1 species
AACGAACGCUGGCGGCAGGCCUAACACAUGCAAGUCGAGCGCGCCCUUCGGGGUUAGCGGCGGACGGGUGAGUAACGCGUGGGAACGUGCCCUUUUCUACGGAAUAGCCUCGGGAAACUGAGAGUAAUACCGUAUACGCCCUUUGGGGGAAAGAUUUAUCGGAAAAGGAUCGGCCCGCGUUGGAUUAGGUAGUUGGUGGGGUAAUGGCCUACCAAGCCGACGAUCCAUAGCUGGUUUGAGAGGAUGAUCAGCCACACUGGGACUGAGACACGGCCCAGACUCCUACGGGAGGCAGCAGUGGGGAAUCUUAGACAAUGGGGGCAACCCUGAUCGAGCCAUGCCGCGUGAGUGAUGAAGGCCUUAGGGUUGUAAAGCUCUUUCAGCUGGGAAGAUAAUGACGGUACCAGCAGAAGAAGCCCCGGCUAACUCCGUG